rnacentral:snRNA from 1 species
GUGUUCACAUCAGCAGCACAUAUACCCAAAUGAGAACCAUGUAAAGAUUAACAUGGCCUGUUUACAAGGAUGAUACCCAAAGUCAUGAAGCACAUUAUAUUAAA